rnacentral:rRNA from 1 species
CCUACGGGUGGCAGCAGUGAGGAAUAUUGGUCAAUGGGCGCUAGCCUGAACCAGCCAAGUAGCGUGAAGGAUGACUGCCCUAUGGGUUGUAAACUUCUUUUAUAUGGGAAUAAAGUGCAGUAUGUAUACUGCUUUGCAUGUACCUUAUGAAUAAGGAUCGGCUAACUCCGUGCCAGCAGCCGCGGUAAUACGGAGGAUCCGAGCGUUAUCCGGAUUUAUUGGGUUUAAAGGGAGCGUAGGCGGGUUGUUAAGUCAGUUGUGAAAGUUUGCGGCUCAACCGUAAAAUUGCAGUUGAUACUGGCAUCCUUGAGUACAGUAGAGGUAGGCGGAAUUCGUGGUGUAGCGGUGAAAUGCUUAGAUAUCACGAAGAACUCCAGUGGCGAAGGCGGCUCUCUGGUCUGCAACUGACGCUGAGGCUCGAAAGCAUGGGUAGCGAACAGGAUUAGAUACCCGUGUAGUC